GUCUGUCUUUAUUUCUGCGCUGUCAUUAGCAUGGAAACAUUGCUCUUCUCCUAUGGCGAGCGUUUGGAUGUAUGCUGUCUGACUGGCAGCUCAGUGAGUAAGUUGUGGUUAAUGUGUCAGAGUUUUGCAGGGCAGACAUUGAUUUAUACUCCCUGAUAAAGACACACAUGGCAACAAACGGCAUGACACGCAGCUCUCUGAGCUCCAGUCCUCAUGAAGAUGGAUAAGUAUCCUUGACGCUGCAUGUUAUCUCGCUGUCUGCCGUCCCACUGAAAAAUGUUUCAAGAAUAACAAGCCUGAGUUUGGGGUUGACUCCUCCAGAGGGGCUGGAAAUGGCUUUUCAAUGAGCUUAAGUGUGUGGGUCCUCUGGGACAUGUGGAGCGCGGUGGAUACGGCAGACCUGUAUGAUUUCAGCAGACUUCAUCUCAAAUGCUCUCGUCAUUUGUCCUUACAGAGUUACUUUAGCUGGUCCACUCUGCAGCUUAUUAUGAAGGGCCCACUUAGACAGAAGCUGUUGAUGAGUCUGCGCCGACUCUCUUUAAUUAAAGCUCUGUUGUUAAAGACUUGUGGAAAACCCCACACGAAAGGAAAUGCUCAUAAACUCAUUAUUCAUUUAUUUGCUUCACACAGACCAGGUGCUCCAUGCACACAUAGCAACAAAACAAUGGCAUUUUCCCCUUCUGUUCAUUUUCACUGGAACAUGGAAAUAACAGGGAAUUCAGGAAACGGAAAUGUGUCUCUCUUAAAGCUAAAAAUUAAAAUUCAGCUGUCUCUGUGCAAUACAUUUAUGUGCAAUUCCACUUAUAUUUAUUCGAUAGACUAUUCUAUUCCAUCUCUAGCACACCUGUACAUACAAUUUGUGUCUAUUUUUGUUUAUUUUUAUAUAUACAUAUGGGUAUUUUAUUCAUAUAUCUUUAUUUUUUAUUAUCUGUGUGUUGUUGUUGUCUCUGUGUUCUUGAAGCUUCUGUCACCAGAACAAAUUCCUUGUAUGUGCAAACAUACUUGCAAUAAAGCUCUUUCUGACUUCUGAUAAAUAAAACAGCACUCAAAACAGUCAUAAUCUAAAUGUUAAUGCCCAUUUUCCUUUUUUUCCCCAUAUAUUUAUGAUUGGACUAUCACCUGU
rnacentral:lncRNA from 12 species